UAAUACAGAGGCCACAAGCGUUAGUCGGAAUCACUGGGCUUAAAGGGUGCGUAGGCGGGUCUGCAAGCGUCUUGUGAAAUACCUCAGCUCAACUGAGGAACAGCAGGGCGAACUGCGGAUCUUGAGGCAUGUAGGGGCUGCGAGAACAGUAGGUGGAGCGGUGAAAUGCGUAGAUAUCUACUGGAAUGCCGAUGGUGAAGACGCGCAGCUGGGCAUGUCCUGACGCUGAGGCACGAAAGCGUGGGGAGCAAACAGG
rnacentral:rRNA from 1 species